rnacentral:lncRNA from 1 species
AACUUAAUCCCUCAUUAUAUUCCCAUAUUAGUGGGGAAAACUCCCACAAUUAAGGACAUCAGGUUAUAAUAAUUGUCAGGAAAAAAUAAAAAAUUACAACCAAGCCACCAAGCAUGAGCCUAUACAUGAUAGGUGGAUCAUUCACAACACAACUCUACGGUGUUGGAAUUGUUGGAAAGAAGGUAUGUGGAACAAGUGUUUCUUUGAGCUGAAAGUGAGUAGGAUUGGCCUGUUUACGAUGAAAAGUGGUGACCAACUUGCCAUCCUUGCCAACAUGAAAUAGCCACUCGUGAAAUUUGAUCAACACGAGCAACUCAUCAUCCCCUGGCACGACCACCACUUUCGGUGACAAGCGACUGUCACAUCUGCCGAACUGCAUCCUGAUCUGUUGAAGCGGCAAUUCAACCCGGCAAUUGAAGGUCCAAACCUCCCUCUCGAAGUCUUGCAACAGCCAUAUAUCAACGGUUUUCACAUAAUCAAAGAUGGCCAUGCCGAGUACGCCGUCCAUCUCAAACAAGUCAGCGCAAUCAGUAAAAACGGGAGCACGCAUCUUCCGGAACGACUCAGAUGUGGUGUCGAACACGGAUAUCGUUCUGUCUCCCCACUCAAUAUCCGAUGGGUACCAAUGCAGGUUACCGCGGCAUAGCACAUGAGGUACGGGUUCCAAAUCAACCGCAUCUGGCCAUCCGAUGUGCCUAGGCGGCUGGCCGGAGCCCAGCGGCAAGACGUAACUGCCAGGUACCAGCUUAUGGUCUGCGUCAUGGCUGUGCAAGUAGAGAAGUACUCUGUACUCGCCGGUGGGGGAGUGAGGGUACAUUCCUAGGAGCGUCCAUUUGUGACGCAGAUGCAAGGGCAGGCGAGUAUACUGACGAGUUACCGGAUUGCAGACGAAGUAGUUGAUUGCGUCGAUGCAGAGGAUAAGUAUUCCAUCGCAAGAGGCAACCAAAUCGAAGAAAGCGAAGUUGUCACCCAAAUUCAAGAAGUUUUGGCCACAUAUGUCAAAGGACUGAAACUGGUCCGCGGCAACACGGGUUGGCCGAGGGUCGAAGAUGUCUAGGAUGUCGUCGUCGCCAUUUUGGAGUAGAGAAAGGAUAGGCUGACGGGCGUGAUGGGCGAGGAGAAAGUCGUGAGUGGAGGUGGCGUUGCACCAGGCACGGCAGACGGCGCGGCAGCGGAGGAGGGCUUUGGGUGAUAGGCGGACGAGGAUCUCCCAUAUUACGAUCUCGUCCGGGAGGCCGCCAAGGGAAAGCUUCGUUCUUGCUCUUGGGGCCUUGUUCAUCGUCGUCGCGAGCUGAGAGUUCUGUAUAUACGCAAUAUGCUGGCUUCCUCCGGCGAGUUUUCUUUCUUUCAAUCUGGGUGAUUACAAGGGUCGCAUACACUGAUAUAUAUAGCCUAGAGAGAGUUAGUCCAUAGCCUAUACAUACAUAUGUCGUGUUGUAUCCUAUGCGGACCGGUGAUUAUUUUCGUUUCCAAACCGGACACGGACAAAACACCACACAUCCUACCGCCGUCGUGUACGUGUGGCUGCGGGGCACCCACGUGGAAGCGGCGCACAUGGGCCUCCAGGAGUCCAAAAUGCUCGACGGACGGAGUCGGAUCGAAAGCCGAAGACGGAUAGGAUCCGGCCGACAGCAAGCGCAUGAUCGCCAAGCUCGUCUCCGGGCCGCGUACGUGUUACACAUGCAUGGAACCGAAUCGAACUUUUUAUUUUGGACCAUGCGCUAUGGGCGCUAUGCGGGCAGGUAUCACGGUCGGCAGUUGAGGAAGUGUCCUUCAGUUUGUCUCCAUCCGUGUGUUACAAAAGGCACGUCUAUCUUUCUCUCAUUGCCACGUCCGACAAACACAAUAGGCCAUGUGAAAACUAUGGUCCUUUCUUCCUCAGGUGAUCCUCCCUCUACAUACCCAUAAUACUAAAAAUAUCCUACGCCCCACGAGCCCAGAUCCUCGUGCAACCUCUUCUCCCCCCAUCAGUCGUCGGAGGCCAUGGCCUCGCAUUGGGGAGCUCUCCUCCUCAAGAAAAUGACUAGUAGAAAAAAGGGCUUUGGUCCACUUGAAGAAAUCCCAUUAGUUCCGGUUCACUCACGAACCAGGAUUCAUGGGACCCAUGGAUGCAUCGGUCCCGGUUCGUGAGGCCAGGGCGUUGUUCGGGACUCGUGGGCCAUUGGUCCCGGUUCGUCUGACCCUUUUGGUUCCGGUUUCACACACGAGCCGGGAUCAAUGUGACUCGCUCCUGGCCCACAACCAUUAGUCCCGGUUUUUGGCUGGAACCGGGACCCUAUGUUGAACUUUAGUCUCGGUUCCGGCCACAAACCGGGAUCAAUGGUUGGCCUAUAUAUACCCCGUGCCCACGAGCAGAGCAGUGCACUGCUCUGUUUUUUUGGCCGGCCGUGGAAGAGCUUUGUGGUGCUCUAGCUCACCUCCUAUGCACAUGACGUGUUCGAUGAAAUGCCCAAGCCACACUUAAGCUUUCUCCUCUCGAAGCUCCUUGUCCAAGCUUCAAUUUCCUCAAGUUUUGUGUAGCUUUCGCGGUCCGCCCGUGUCCCGUCCCCGUCCUCACCGUCGUCGAUCACCCGCGCCCAUCUCGGCGUCGGCACCACCGUGGUUAGUCUCUUCUUCUUAUCUUCUUUCUAAAAGGAAAACGUUUUUUACUUGUAUGAUUUAGAUGGAUACUUGUGUAAUUUUCUUACUUUUAUUAUUGUUUUUAUUAUAUAGUGCGAUGGUUUUGGUAUCUGCCUCCGUCGGCCCUCGUCCUGUCUAUGAUUCAGAUAUGGUAUAUAUUAUCUUUUAUAAUUAUUUGUUUUAUUUAGUGUUUAUGAAAAUUAUGCCGACCAACGUGACAUAGAUCAAGAUCAAGAUGGAUGCAAUGCGCUUGAAGAUUAGAAAGAUUAGAAAAAUAUGAUACUCAUGCUGAGGCUUGAUAUCAUUACGUCGUUGGAUCAAUUUGUACCUUAGUUGCGGUUAUGAUCGCAUUUGUUGUUGCAUUUAAUUUAAUAGUUUCACUGUAUGUUCUAAUUAGAUGCUCUAGAGAACUAUAUGUUGUUCAAUAAUGAGAACUAUGUAUGAAUGUUAUGUAUUUAUUUUGGUCACUACUAUACUUUGGCUUUAAUGUGAUGAUGAAUUUCUAUUAAUUUGGUCACUUCUCUAUUCAUGAUAUGUUGUAGGUUUUUAAUACAUUUUAUCAUAUAACGCACGCAGAUGAACCGACAAUGGAUGUAUGGUGACCGACGCACCUCCGAGUAUAUUAAGGGCGUGCAUAAUUUUCUUGAAGCGGCUGACGCAAACAAGCAGAAUGGUUUUUAUGCAUUGUCCAUGUACUAUCUGUGGGAAUACGAAGGCUUUCUCCGACUAUAAAACCCUUCACUUUCACCUUCUUCAGAAGGGUUUUAUGCCACACUAUAAUGUUUGCGCCAAGCAUGGAGAAAGAGGGGUUAUGAUGGAAGACAACGUAGAAGAAGAGGAUAAUGACAACUACCCGCCCUUGAAUACGGUGAUGAUGCAAUGGGAAGCUGAAGAUCAAGAGGAACCAGACGAUGUGCCCGAUGAUGAUCUUCGUCGGGUCAUUGUUGAUGCACAUAGAGAAUGCAAAAGUGAAAGAGAGAAGUUGAAGUUCGAUCGCAUGUUAGAGGAUCACAAAAAUGGUUGUGCCGAAAUUGCGAAGAUGCAACACAAAGCUCGGUACCACAUUGGAAUUGCUGCAAUGGAAGGCAGACAAUGGUGUAUCUAACAAGAGAUUUAGUUCGCUACUGAAAAUAAUGAAGAAGAAGCUCCCAAAGGAUAAUUAAUUGCCCGACAGUACGUACGAAGCAAAGAAGAUUCUAUGCCCUCUAGGAUUGGAGGUGCAAAAGAUACAUGCAUGCCCUAAUGACUUCAUCCUCUACCGCGAUGCAUACAAGGAUUUGAAUGCAUGCCCGGUAUGCAACGCAUUGUGGUAUAAGAUCCAAAAGAUGACCCUGGUGAUGUUGAGGGCCAGCGCACCGGGAAUAUGGUUCCUGCCAAGGUGAUGUGGUAUGCUCCUAUAAAUACCACGGUUGAAACGUGUGUUCAGAAACAAAAAGCAUGUCGAGUUGAUGCAAUGGCACAUAAAAGACCGUAAGAAAGACGGGAAGUUGAGAGCACCCGCUGACAGGUCGCAGUGGAGAAAGAUCGAGAGAAAGUCGAGCGACUUUACACAUGACCCAAGAAACGUAUGGUUUGGUUUAAGUGCAGAUGGCGUCAAUCAUUUUGGGGAGUGAUACAUCCAAAAUGUAUCUAUAAUUUUUGAUGGUUUCAUUCUACUUUUAUUCUUUUGAUAAUUGUUUUUAUAUUAAGUUUAUGAUUUAUUUGGACUAACCUACUAAUAGUUGCAAAAGUGCAAAAUGUUCUUGUUUUACACUUCGAUGUGUAGGAACUAUCAAAACUAGAAGAGGAAACCUUAUUGGAGUUGGACUCUCACUUUCAUGAAAUCUGUCCCCCUAGAGAUUUUAGAGAUCGUCCGUUUCCGCCUGAAAGAUGACAUCAAAUGAAAAAAUAAUAGAAAGUUGUGGGGAAUUGUAUGAUGAUAAUUCUAGACAUAAAAUUCAGGUCAUUUGGAGUUCAGACGCUACAGUAAAGCCCGUUUUACUAGAGGACAAAUAUCUGAUUACAGGAUUAGGGGAAUCGGUGACGUGAUUAAGUCCAACUCUUACCAUAUUAGAUGGAUUCGGCCAAGCCACGACUUGGGGACCUCAUUAGGCUGAGUGGGGUUCGUAGGAAGGUUCUAUAGGUGCCCAAGAGCCCUUGGAUCAAAGGGGCAUCCAUCGGAGGACCAAGGAUGAUCGUCCCGGCUAAUAUAAGGAGAGGAAAAAACUGAUUUCUCGGGAGCCACCAAGAUCUACGAUAUUUCCUCCUCCCAGGUAGCCGCCUUGGGGUGGAGAACCACCUCCAUACCAGCACCAUCUCCAAGGAAGAAGGGGGGCAAGGGCCGCCGCCCCUAGGGCCGUGGCCACCGCCGUCUCCUCUCCGGGCUAUACCUCUCCAUCAACCUCUUGCUCACCAUGGCCAUGUGUGAGUAGUCUCCUUUGGGGCUGAGGGUUGUAUGUGUAGCUAUGUGGUCAUCUCUCUCCCAUGAUGUGCUCUUGAUUGUGAUAAUAGGCUAUGUUAAUCUAGGGUGAUCCCAUUAUGUUUCCCCUUCUUCUAUGUAUUCGAUUGAUGUACUUACUUAAUCUUAUCUAGUAUAAUCCCCGAGACCAUGGUGACAGCGGUCUAUUUGACAUUGAUUAGAAGAAUAUUUUCAUGAGUGAUUUCCUCUUUUGUGAAUUCAUUGAAGAUUGAGAGUCUAUUGGUGCUUGUCUUUUAGUAUCCGUGAGAUACGUUAUGUUGAUUGUGGUUACCUCUUUGGAUGGCCUCAGUGACAUUGGGAAAUCCAUAGAUGAGAACUACGAACUAUGAGGUGUGCUUUUGUAGCCCUACAAAAUUCUCGUCCUCUCUUGAUCACAAAGGAAUGACCUCCAAGUACGUCUCCAUUGCAUGUUUUAGUGGAAAUAUCAUGUGAUUAGAUUAUGUUAAUGUUGUUGGGAGUUGCCACUAGUGAAAGUAUGAGGCCUAGGCCUUGUUUUCCACCAUUGAACACCGUUUACUUUCAGUUUUGUUUCAUGUUUGCGUGCUGCCAUUUUUAUUUCAGAUUUACAAUACCUUGUUUUACCAUCCAUAUCACUUGCCUUUUAACAUCUCUUCGCCGAACUAGUGCACCUAUACAACUGACAAUUGUAUUAGGUGUGUUGGGGACACAAGAGACUUCUUGUAUCUUAAUUGCAGGGUUGCUUGAGAGAGACCAUCUUCAACCUAUACUUCACUGAGUUCGAUAAACCUUAGGUCAUCCACUUGAGGGAAAUUGUUGCUGUCCUACAAACCUCUGCGCUUGGAGGCACAACAUAGUCUACAAGAAUAGAAGUGUGCGUAGACAUCAAGCUAUUUCUGGCGUCGUUGCCUGGGAGGUGAGUGCUUGAAGGUAUAUCUUUAGAUCUUGCAAUUAUAUCUUUUUGUUUCUUGUUUUUAUUUCACUAGUUAGGCUUAAUGGAAAACAACAAAAAUAUGAGAGAGCUUUAUAAACUUUAUCUUGAACUAGGACAUGAAGUGUUUGAGGAGAAAAAUAAAAAACCUACGGAACUUUAUUAUUUGCGUAACAAUUAUGAUGAUUGCAAUGAUGAAUGUGAGCUUUUUAGUCCACCUACUAUAGAGGAUACAUUUUAUUAUGAUUAUGAUAUGCCUCCUAAAAAUGAUGAUUACCAUGAUGAUAAUGAUUGCUUUACUCUCACUAUUCCUAAUAAGAAAGAUUUUGCUUAUAAGAAGAGUAAUUAUACUUUUAUGCUUUUGGAUCAUGGAAAUAAUGCCUUAUGUGAUACUUAUAUUGUUGAGUUUAUUCAUGAUCCCACUGAAAAUUAUUAUGAGAAGGGAACAUAUGCUUAUAGAUAUUCCAAUAAUAUCAAGUUCCCUCUCUUUAUGUUGAAGGUUUUGAAGCUGCACUUGUUUUGCCUUCCUAUGCUUAUGAUGAAAACUGAUGACCAACUUGCCAUGCCAACAUGAAUUGGCCACACGUCCAAUUUGAUCAACACGCGCAACUCAGCAUCCCCACGCACACCCACCACUUAAAAUGACAACCGACUGUCACACCUAUCGCACUGCAUCCUGAUCUGUUGAACUGGCUAUUUAAUCCCGCAACUCAAGUUCCAAACCUCCUAUCAAAGUGUCGAAACAACCAGAAAUCAACGAUUUUCACAUAAUCAAAGAUGGCCAAGCUUGGUGGAACAUCCACUUAACAUGGCAAAGGUGCAAUUUUUAAUUCUCUUGAUGAAGUUUAGACAGAUUUUUGCACGUGUCCUAGUGUCAUAUGAAAGGCAUCAUCAUUCAAACACUAGUAGAAAGUGGGUCUUUCGGUCGAAGCCCAAAACCAUAUUAGCCCCAGUUCAAACUAAAACCGGUACCAAUGCCAGGCAUUGGUCCCGGUUCGAGCUGCCAGGCCCUAGCGGGGCAAUAGCCCCGGUUCGGUUCGAUGCAUUAGCCCCGGUUCGCGCCAAAAACCGAGACUAAAGAUCCAGCGACUGACACGUGGUGUUCCGCGGUGGUGGCAACCGUUCGUAUCCCCCUUUAGUCCCGGUUGGUAGCUCAACCCGGGACUAAAGGUCUGACACGUGGCCUGCCGUAGUGGUAGCAACCGUUGGUAUCCCUCUUUAGUCCCGGUUGGUGGCUCAACCCAGGACUAAAGGCCCAAACGGCUUGCAUCCCGCUUCCCAAAACCACAACCAAAGCAGAGUCUCUAUCGCAUCGCCAUUUCUCUGUUCUUCUUCCUCUCUCGCUCUCGCUCUGUUCUUCCCCUCUCUUCUUCCCUUCUCUUCUUCCACCAUGCCAACUCGCUUUGGAGAGGUGAUCGCACAUGGCAAGACCAAGCUCGAUGUCGUGUACAUGAACGAGAGCAGGGAGGUGCCGCAUUUUCUUAGAUAGUUGAAGGAACGAUGGCUUGACGCCGUAGUGGAUCAUGAGAAGUUCUUGGGGCUUGAUCUGGAGUACACGACCGAUCAACGCGGUGUUGCCAUCAUCCAACUAUGUUUCAAACACCAAGUCUUGAUCUUCCAAUGGGCAAGGUAAGUUUUGAGGCUUUCUUUGAUCCAAGGUAAUGACAUUGUAAGUUUAUUUGUUUCAAUCAUAGUUGGUUCCCUUCAAAUAGUUGUAGUGAAACAAUUUUGAUUAGUUGAAGGGGAACACAAUCUGAUUAGAAUAGUGUUGCAUAAUCUGAAAAAUCUUAUUAGAAUCAACUAGUGUUUAAUAUGUUCCAUUGGAAUCAUAGUUGGUUCGCUUCAAAUAGUUGUAGUGAAACAAUUUUGAUUAGUUGAAGGGAACACAAUCUGAUGGAAUAGUGUUCCACAAUCUGAAAAAUCUGAUUGGUUCAAUAUGUUCCAUUGAAAUCAUAGUUGUAGUGAGACAAUUUUAUGCGGCAUUCUUUGAUCCAAGGUUAUGAAAAUUGCAUAUAGCUAGUGAUCUCUCUAGGUUCCAUUGGAUAGCAAUAUGAUAUGUCAUAGUCAUGAAAAUUGCAUAUAGCUAGUGAUCUCUCUAGGUUCCAUUGGAUAGCUAUAGUGAUCUCUCUAGGUUCCAUUGGAUAGCAAUAUGCAAUAUGUCUAGCUUAUUGAAUAUUUGCAAAACCAUGGGAGAAUAUAUAUCUAUGUCAUAGUUAAUUUACGGUUUCUUGAUCAAUUCAUAGGAUAUGAAAAUUGCAUAGGAUAGCAAUAUGUUCCAUUUGAAUCCUAAAGAUAAUUUUCUCUUUAGUUGUAGUGAAACAUGUUUCCUUAUUGCAGCAGUAUGUAACAUUUGUUCCAUUUUAAUUUGUUUCUAUUGCAGUAGUGACAAGCAUUGUCCAGAACUCAUGGACUUCCUUCGCAGCGACAUCACUUUUUCUACCAUUGACAUAACGAACGACAAGCUGAAUAUGAGGUACAGCUUCGGUAUUGAGAUACCAACUGGUUGCCUCAUUGAUCUCCAAACGGUAUUCAGGCUUCGACAUGUCAGGACUUCGAUGGCUCAUAUGGUAGUUGCCUUGAUCGACGAGGAGUAUGGUAAUAUGAAGACCAAUUUCCCAAAGUCUCAGCACAAACUUUGGGAGAAGGCCCCACUUGAUCGUAUCAACAUUGAGUAUGCAGCAAAAGAUGCAUACGUUUCAUACGAGUUGUACCGCAAGAUUCGAGUCGUCAACUAUGGCCAGCGUCACCUCGAAUAAGGUGGACAUUCUGAUUCAGACGAUUCAGACGAGUAGUGUUCUCAACGUCGAACACUUAUAUAUAUAUAUCUAUGGUAGCUAUUAUUAUGUACUGUUUGGACUAGUAUCAUGUACUGCUUGGACCAAUUUAUAUAUGUCUAGUUUCUGUUUGUGCCAUUAUAGUUUUCAAAUUUGAAUGGUUUAGCCCUUUCUAACUUCAUUUGCUACUUUUGAAUGGUUUAGCCCUUUCUAACUUCAUGGUAUCAUGCAUUUCGACCACAUAUAUAUACAAAAAGUCUUCAGUUCAAAUAAGUUCAAAAAAUGAAAUCCCUUUUGUAACAGAUCUGUUUUUGAUUAAAACAGUCAUUUAAAAAUGAAAUACCAUUAGUCCCACGUGGCGUGCAGCGGAACCACGUGGCGUGCCGCGGAACCACUUUUGUUGUGGGGGUCGSYUUUCCUUCUUCUCCUUGUGCUAGAUAUUUGUUAUGCAUUAGGGGAAGAAGGARUAGCGACCAUCAUCGACGGUUGAAAAAUCAGGUGAGCUAGUGUCCACCAUAUAUGAGAGAAGAAGAAUGUCGUCUCUUGUUGUGGGGGUCGCUUCUCCUUCUUCUCCUUGUGCUAGAUAUUUGUUAUGUGCCUUUGAAUGGUGCAUUUUGAACACACAAAAAUUAUGGAGUUUAAAUAAGUUCAAAAAAAUGAAAUCCCUUUGUAACAGAUGAGUUCUCGUUUGAAACCCUGAUACUUCGAGAGAGAUUGUCCGUUUUGUACAAGAAGUGCAUCCAGUUUUUGCCGUAACCCUCUCAACUUUCUCGCACAUGCUUUGUGGGUGAAAUGAUGAUACCAUGCCAACUUGGAACCUUUUCAGAGUUAGUUUCAAAUGCUUUUCAAUUUCAUGGUCUUAUAGCUCAAAAUAAUCAGUAAAUGCAUGAAAAUAACAAAUGAAGUCAGAAAGGGUUGUAAAUUGAUGAUGUGCCUUUGAAUGGUGCAUUUUGAACACAGAAAAACUAUGGAGUUCAAAUAAGUUCAAAAAAAUGAAAUCCCUUUGUAACUAACGAGUUUCCAUAUGAAACCCUCAUACUUCCAAAGAGAUUGUCCGUUUUGUACACGAAGUGCACCCAGUUUUUGCCAUAACCGUCUCAACUUUCUCGCACAUGCUAUGUGGGUGAAAUGAUGAUAGCAUGCCAACUUGGAACCUUUUCAGAGUUCAUUUCAAAUGCUUUUCAAUUUCAAGGUCUUAUAGGUACAAAAUAAUUAGUAAAUGAAUGAAAAAUAACAAAUGAAGUWAGAAAGGGUUGUAAAUUGAUGAUGUGGCUUUGAAUGGUGCAUUUUGAAACACAGAAAAACUAUGGAGUUCAAAUAAGUUCAAAAAAAUGAAAUCCCUUUGUAAUAGACGAGUUUCCGUAUGAAACCCUGAUACUUCCAAAGAGAUUGUCCAUUUUGUACAUGAAGUGGAUCCAGUUUUUGCCGUAACCCUCUCAACUUUCUCGCACAUGCUAUGUGGGUGAAAUGAUGAUACCAUGCCAACUUGGAACCUUUUCAGAGUUCAUUUCAAAUGCUUUUCAAUUUCAUGGUCUUAUAGCUCAAAAUAAUCACUAAAUGCAUGAAAAAUAACAAAUGAAGUCAGAAAGGGUUGUAAAUUGAUGAUGUGGCUUUGAAUGGUCCAUUUUGAACAAGAGAAACUAUGGAGUUCAAAUAAGUUCAAAAAAAUGAAAUCCCUUUGUAACAGACGAGUUUCCGUAUGAAACCCUUAUACUUCCAAAGAGAUUGUCCGUUUUGUAUACGAAGUGCAUCCAAUUUUUGCCUCUAGUAUUAUGGAAACUAAAAUUAUAUAGAAUUUUGUUACAAACUUUCAUAGCAAAAAGAAUUAUCAUAAAAAGAAAAUAAAUAAGUAAUUAGAAUUUUGUUCAAAACAUUAAAAGCAAAAAUAAUUAUCAUAAAAGAAAAUAAAUAAGUAAUUAGAAUUUUGUUACAAACUUUAAUAGCAAAAAGAAUUAAUCGUAAAAGAAAAUAAAUAAGUAAUUAGAAACAAAAAAGAAAGCAAAAAACAGGAAAAAAAUAAAAAAAAAGUGCGACCUACAGGGCCACCACGGCCUGCAUACGACUAGAAACCCAUUACUAGGGCCAGGAUGCAGGCCCGCAGUAGGCCCAAUAGGCCCACAAGCACAGAGAGUGAAUUUAGGCUCGUAAGCCUGCAGUAGAGAGGAGCUCGAAGUGGUUGGUUCGGCAGGGCUUCUAAACCACUCCGAGCCCCUCUCGGCUAGCGAGGUGGGACUAAACAUAGCACCGCACCGCGCAAGGCCUUGGUCCCGGUUGGUGGAACCAACCGGGACUAAAGGGAGGCAUUGGUACCGGUUUGUGCCACUAACCGGGACCAAAGGCCUGUGCUUCCCGCCCUUUGGGCUGCUGAAAAGAGACCUUUAGUCCCGGUUUGAGCCACCAACCGAUACCAAUGCCUCUGCUUCCCGCCCUUUGGGCUGCUGAAAAGAGACCUUUGGUCCNNNNNNNNNNNNNNNNNNNNNNNNNNNNNNNNNNNNNNNNNNNNNNNNNNNNNNNNNNNNNNNNNNNNNNNNNNNNNNNNNNNNNNNNNNNNNNNNNNNNNNNNNNNNNNNNNNNNNNNNNNNNNNNNNNNNNNNNNNNNNNNNNNNNNNNNNNNNNNNNNNNNNNNNNNNNNNNNNNNNNNNNNNNNNNNNNNNNNNNNNNNNNNNNNNNNNNNNNNNNNNNNNNNNNNNNNNNNNNNNNNNNNNNNNNNNNNNNNNNNNNNNNNNNNNNNNNNNNNNNNUUUUUUUGGUGAUAUUAUUGUUGAAUAUGCAUGUUUGUAUGUUCAUAUAUAUGCAAAGAUCGAAUAUGUCUAAAUUUUUAUGUAUUUUUUUCUGUUCAUAGAAUUUUUAUGAUUUAAUAAAAAUUCUACUUGCUAGUUGAUUUAUUAAUUUUAUCAUAGUUUAUUUUUAGUAAGUACUACUUUAUUUUAUUUAUAGUAAGUGCUUCAUAUAUAGUUGAACUCGCUAGUUGAUUUAAUAAACUACUUUAUUUUACUAUAUAUAGAAGUAGUUUGUUUUUAGUAAGUACUACUUUAUUUAUUUAUAGUAAGUGCUUAGUAGUUGAACUUGUUGAUUUAAUUAAUAAAACUACUUUAUUUAACUAUAUAUAGAAGUAGUUCCCGCAUCAACGUCGACUUGUUGUUAUAUAUAAUCGUGACACACUUUAUUUAACUAUGUAUGAUGAUGAUUAAUAAGUAGGACUUGUUGUUAUAUAUGAUGAUGCAUGAUGCGAGCAUGAAGAGUUAUUAUAUAUAGAUGUUCAAUUAUUUUGAUAUAUAUAGAGUGUCACGAUUAUAUUGUUGUUUACACAUAUUUACCACAUUAAAACAGGAAAUGUCUGACGAUGGAUAUUGCGAGUGUGAAUAUUGCGGCGGCUCUCGGGGUAUGUGCGACAUGUGCCUCACCUGCAAGACGAUAGGUUCUUCAACAUGAAGCUUGACAAGAACGGUGAUAUGUACCUCCCUUGCUAUGCAAGAAGAUAUGUGUUGGAGAGGCUCGGUUUCGAAGACCACGAGAGAAUUGAGACGAGGAGCGCUAAGCUGAGGACUAUACAUGGUCACACAUUUGUUAUCCAAGUAUUUAAUUCAGUUUUUCAAACAGAAUUUGGGUGCCCAAAGUGGGAAGAUCUUUGCAAGGCAUAUGGAUUUCAGAAGGGAAUGGAAAUCACCUUCGAUCUUCGUCCUGAAGAUAAUAUGCCAGACAACAUCGACAUUUGGGUGGUUGUCGAUGAUAUGCUUCCUGUUUUCCUCAAUGUGAGUUUCUCAACCAUAUUUGUCAAGUAAUUUGCAUUUAUACUUAUAAAUAGUUGGUGUAGUCAACCUGUUUUCCUCUCGUAAUUUACAUGUCAUGUGGUGUUGUGACAGCCCGAUGCCGACGUUCCAGAAGAUUCCCCUCUCUUUCCGUUUUCGUCGUGUGUCUAUUUUAUUUGUCGCUUCGUCAUCGCAUCAUGCGCAUCAUCAGCAUUGCAUCGGCAUCUUCGUUGCCGCCAGUUUUCAAAACUUGCAUCCGUUGUUAGUUGCCGGUUCGUGUCGUAGUCCGUUCUGAGCCCGACCGCACUCGCACGCGCCCGCGGCACCGUCGAAACCCUGUUUUAAAAGUGUGUGUUAAACUUUCUCUGAUCUGGUUGAAAUUUGACGUGCGGAGUUAUUUUAAUAUAGCUAGGCCGCCUGUCAAAUUUCGUCGCGAUCGGAGUCCGUCUGGUCCCCGAACGGUUGACCGUAGCGGCACCGUAUUCGGUCUACCGUCGGACGUGUUCCGGUGUUUAAAACUGUGUCGCCGCGCCGCCCGUUCUCCCUCUCGUCUCCGGUUAUCUCCUCCACACGGCCGCGUACCCAUUACCAUGUUCGGAAUCGUCCGAAUCCGACCCCGCGGUUGGAUCCGGAACGCGAUUCCGGUUAACCGAGCCCCCCCCCCCGUUCGUCUAUUUAUAGACCCCCCAUGCAUUAUUCACACAAACCCUCUCUCCCUCCCUCGGGAACAGCGCCCCUCAAACCCUAACCGCACUCUCUCUCUCCUCCCUCCCACCAGCCGCCGCAGGGCCCGCCGAAGCCCAUCCGGGGCCCGCCCGAGCCCGGGUCGUCCGCGCCGCCGCCUGCCCGAUUUUCCCAAGCUCCCUCGCCCCUCCCCCCNGCCUGGCCUCGCUCCAGCGAGCGACGGGAGGAGCCGACCCUGCCGCUCGCCUCGCGUGGUGCCCCGUGGGCCCGCCUACCAGCCUGGUGGCCCAUCUCCAGCGGCCCACUCCGGUGCCCUCCACCUCGCAACUCUCGGCCCAGCUCCCACCGCCGAGCCAGGCCGGCCCAGGUAAACAUCAGCCCCCAAGCCUUCUAAAUGGCGCCCGUGUGCUGUUUUAGUUAUUUGCGCCCCUGUUGAGCCCAUUAGUAUUUAGGAAUUUUUGGAAUAAAUUAAAUUCCAGAAAUUAGUCGGUUUUAUAACGCGCGUAACUUUUUAACCGUAGAUCGGAUCGAGACAUAUUUUAUAUGGUUUUGGGGUAGCUUCGCGAGUAGAACACGAUUAUCCAACUUGCAUAUUUUUUUGGCGUUGUUUGACGUAUCGUAUGCAUGGAUUUACGUGCUGUCUCGAUAGGAAAGUGCCCGCAUUUAUUUUCCGCGCGUGAUCGAAUUGCUCGAAUGCCAUGAUAGAAAUUUCCAUGUUUUUGGAAUCACUUUUGCAUGCAUUUUAGAGCGGUCACUCGUAUUUUUGCGUGUAGGGAUUUGCCGGUAAUUUAUUUUUCCGUAUAUAGGAUUUAUCUCGCAUUAAUGUGUGGCAUUAUUUUGUGUUGCAAACCCCACAUAUUUUAUAUGUUUCCGGGGUAGAAAAAUCCCAUAGAUUUUUUUGUGCAAUUAGUUUUCGCAUUAGAGCAAGUUAGUUCGCGAGAUAUUUUGCCGUGAUGCCCUUUUGUUUAAUUCGUAGGAUUUAUUCCGUGCCUCGUUUGAAUUAGUUGUCAACUAGAGAGUUGAUCUUGGAUGUUUUGUUUAGCCCCUGGUAUUUUUAGUUGCAAUAGAAAUGCAUGUUUAGGUGUUGUUUGCUUGCUCUCAAGUUGCUAGAAAUAAUGCUGUUUUAGAGGAGCUGAAAUAUUUCUAAGUCUGGAAUCUGUUAUUAUUUUGUGGCUGUCUUGUCUUGCUUGCAUCUUCUGAUCUGUAGCUCUUUUGACGUUGGUCCAAUUGAGUUAGUUGUCCCCCUUAUGUUUCUCUAGCAUGCUGUUAAGUUUCAUGCCAUUUGGAGACCUGUAGCUAUAGAUUUUGCUGCUGUCAAUAUAACUUCAGGCUGAAAACUGCACUUUCAUGAGGUGUAAUUUUCUCUAAGUCAGAAUUAGUGAGUGGGAUGCCUUUUUGUGUCUUCUUUUCCUAGUGCUCCUUGCUGCCAUGCUAGUUGUUGUUAGUUGUUUGUAGUAGUGCGUCUUGCCCUCUUUCAUGCCAUGCCUUGCUUGAGUUUAUCAGAGUUGUGUGGCCGUAGUUGUGGGGCGUAGUAAAUGCUAUGUGGCUGAUUUUGGCAGAUUGUAGUGUUUUCUUGUUUUGCUCGUAGUUUUUGAACCGUAGCUCCGUUUUGAUCAUGUCCUACAUGCAGCUUGCUUAGAAUCUUAUGUAGUUUCAUUUUUCUCUUGCUGGUUGUUUGUUUUGAAGUGCUCGUAGCCGUCGUUGCACAUAUAUUGCAUUCAUGCCAUCAUAUCUUGCGGUGCUUGUAUCUUUUGAUCUGUAGCUCCGUUGGAGAUGUUCUUUAUGUGUAGAUUGCUUGCCUUGACGCGUAGAAUCACGUGAAUCUAUUUGUUUUGUUGUUUAACAACUAAUUAAAUGCAUUAGUUCAGAUCUGGACAGAAUUGUAAAUUAACGUGGAGGUCGUCUCGGAGAUGCUAUAUGUCGUUUCCGACCUCAUUUAAAAUGCCUAGAUAGGUAGUUUAUUUGCGAUUCACCUCUUGCCAUGUUUAACCACAUUUAAUAUUUCCGUGUAUCUAAUCGGGAGUGAACUAAAUAAUUAACGUGGAGUCUCGUCAAUAUGCAACUCUUUGCAUAUUGAACUUCACUUAAUGUGUAGUGUUUGAUUGUGUGAAUUGUCAUGCCGUGACUUGCAUAUAUUCAGUAGCUCAUGCAUCAUAUGUGUAGUGCAUCGUGUGGUGAAUUCCGUGUGAUGAUUUGUGUUUCCGGUUUGCUUCGUCUCGAUAGAGCUUCGCACGCGUGCCGGAUUGUGAGGACCCGUUCGACUACGUCGGUUCGUCUGCUUCACGGAGGCAUCCUUCUUCCAAGCGGGAUCUCAGGCAAGAUGAUCAUUUCCCCAGAUACCAUUACUAUCAUUGCCAUGCUAGUUUGUCGCUUCUAUCGUUUAUGUCUCGUUGCCUACCACCUGUUAAAUUCAGCCUCUCAACAAUGCCAUGUUAACCUUCAACCUUUUCAACCUAGCAAACCACUGAUUGGCUAUGUUACCGCUUGCUUAACCCUGUGUUAGCGUUGCUAGUUGCAGGUGCAGUUGCUUCCAUGUGAAACAUGGGUUCCUUGUCAUAUCACCAUAUUUAAAUGCUAUUUAAUUUAAUGCACCUAUAUACUUGGUAAAAGGUGGAAGGCUCGGCCUUUUCUAGCCUGGUGUUUUGUUCCACCUUUGCCCCCUUAGUUACCGGCUACCGGUGUUAUGUUCCAUAAAUGAGCGCUCGUAACACGAUCGGGGUUGUUAUGGGGACCCCCUUGAUAAUUCGUUUUAGAUUAAAGCUGGUCUGGCAAGGCCCAACUUUGGUACUACAUUUGCCUAACAACCUAAUAAUAAUGCAUAGGGACCCGCCGGCACCCGCGGACUAUUUUAAUCAACCCCCGGGCCAGUGCUCCUCAUGAGUGUUGAUCCAAAUUGGCAAACUACGGGGCCACCGCGGGGCAACCCGAGGUUUGGCACUCCUAGUGUGAGCCAUCCGUCAUGUCCUGAGAACGAGGUACGCCACUCCUAUCGGGAUCGUCGACACGUCGGGCGGCCUUGCUGGAUUAGUUUUACCUUUGACGAGAUAUCUUGUGCAUCGGGAUUCCGGUGAUGCUUUGGGUAAUCUCAGAGUUGAGGUUUUCCACUAGGGAAUCCGACGAGAUCGCGAGCUUCGUGAUUGAGGAUUUCUAUGCGGCUUGUGGUAAUUUGUGAUGGACUAGUUGGAGCACCCCUGCAGGGUUAAAUCUUUCGGAAAGCCGUGCCCAUGGUUAUGUGGCAACGUGGAAGCUUUGUUUAACACUGGUUCUAGAUAACUUAAAGUUAAUUUAAUUAAAAAUAUGCCAACUGUGUGCGUAACCGUGACUGUCUCUUUCGUGAGUUCCUUCUCCGAUCGAGGACACGGUGGGGUUAUGUCUGACGUAGGUAGGUGUUCAGGAUCAUUCAUUUGAUCAACAGUAGUUCACGUCCGUUAUGCGUAGAUCUUCCCCCUCUUAUUUCUUGUACUCGUAAGUUAGCCACCAUAUAAAUAUGCUUAGCCGCUGCUGCAACCUCACCACUUAACCAUACCUUACCCAUUAACCUUUGCUAGUCUUGAUACCUUUGGAAAUGAGAUUGCUGAGUCCCCUGUGGCUCACAGAUUACUACAACACCAGUUGCAGGUUCAGGUAAAGGUUACGUGACGCGAGCGCGUUGAUUGUUCAUUUGGAGUUGCUUCUUCUUCUUCUUCAUCAUCAUCGAUCUAGGAUGGGUUCCAGGCCGGCAGCCUGGGAUAGCAAGGAUGGACGUCGUUCUUAUUUUUCUCGUUUGUUUUCGUCCGUAGUCGGACCCUGCUCUUACUCUUGAUGAUUAUGUAAUGUACUGAUGUGACUCUGAUGUAACUUGUGGCGAGUGUAAGCCAACUCUUUAUAUAUCUCAUCUUUUCAGUACAUGUACUUGUAACGAUAUCCAUUCUUGCGACACGACGAGAUGCGCUUCUAUCUCUGACGAGGCCCUCGUGCCAAAUUGAGGAUAGGGUCGCAUCUUGGGCGUGACAGGUGUUCAUCGUCUAUUAAAACUUUGGCCACACGUUGCAGGUUCCUAGUUAUUGGGCCAUAGUUAUAAUUAUAUCUUGUUACAUGUUGUACAAACAACAACAACCCAAAUUGUCCUUUGAAUGAUCGUAGCAAAUGUGGUCGUUUUGAAUGGUUUAUAUAAUGCCCACAUCUUGUGGACAAUUACAAAAUUUCUAAGUAUUUUUGAAACAUUAAAUUAUUACAAAUUUUGGGUGGUUGUCGAUGAUAUGCUUCCUGUUUUACCUCCAUGUGAAGUAAUUUGCAUUUAUAUUUAGAAAUAGUUGGUGUUCAUCUAUAUAAUAAAUUUGUUAAAUUAUAAUUUACAGCUUAUUUCGUUGCUUCGACUGAAUUACGAAAAUUAAUUGACACGACACACUACACGUAUGGAUCACAUCUAACUUGGGAGGAGAAGGACCAUCUUCUCCACUUUCUUGUUGCUGGUGUUCUGGCUUCUAGGGAUACCUUCCCGUAUCAUUUUGGAAUUGGCCAAAAUUAUUCAUUUUACAUGCCACUAGUGCAUAGGUUGAGUCCAGAUGACAUUCGCCAAAAUGUCUUGGUAAGAGUUUCCUAAUUAAGUACGCUCCACUAUUGCAUAAAUGAUGUUGAUUACAUUGCUAACUAGGUUAUUAUUAUGUUCUUCAACAGCAACUGCCACAUGAUGUAGUGCCUCCGAUAAUGGACCCACAAGGUCAAAUGAGAAUUACAAGCCCGCUGAGAUGUCACGCCCAAGAUGCGACCCUAUCCUCCAUUUGGACGAAGGCCUCGUCAGGGAUAGAAGCACAUAUCACCGUGUCGCAAGAAUGGAUAUCGUUACAAGUACAUGUACUGAAAAGAAGAGAUUUAUAUAUAGAGUUGGCUUACACUCGCCACAAGCUACAUCAUAGUCACAACAGUACAUUACAUAAUCAUCAAGAGUAAGAGCAGGGUCCGACUACGGACGAAAACAAACGAGAAAAGAAGAACGACGUCCAUCCUUGCUAUCCCAGGUUGCCGGCCUGGAACCCAUCCUAGAUCGAAGAAGAAGAAGAAGAAGAAGCAACUCCAAAUGAACAAUCAACGCACUCGCGUCAAGUAACCUUUACUUGUACCUGCAACUGGUGCUGUAGUAAUCUGUGAGCCAGAGGGGACUCAACAAUCUCAUUUCCAAAGGUAUCAAGACUAGCAAAGCUUAAUGGUUGAGACAUGGUUAAGUGGUGAGGUUGCAGCAGCGGCUAAGCAUAUAUUUGGUGGCUAAACUUACGAAUACCAUAAAUAAGAGGGGGAAGAUCUACGCAUAGCGGACGUGAACUACUGUUGAUAAAAUAAAUGAUGUUGAACACCUACCUACGUCAGGCAUAACCCCACCGUGUCCUCGAUCGGAGAAGGAACUCACGAAAGAGACAGUCACGGUUACGCACAUAGUUGGCAAGUUUUAAUUAAGUUAAAUUCAAGUUAUCUAGAACCAGUGUUAAACAAAGUAUCCACGUUGCCACAUAAUCGCGGGCACGGCUUUUCGAAAAGAUUUAACCCUGCAGGGGUGCUCCAACUAGUCCAUCACAAAUUACCACAAGCCGCAUAGAAAUCCUCAAUCACGAAGCUCGCGAUCUCGUUGGAUUCCCUAGUGGAAAACCUCAACUCUGAGAUUACCCAAAGCAUCACCGGAAUCCCGAUGCACAAGAUAUCUCGUCAAAGGUAAAACUAAUCCAGCAAGGCCACCCGGUGUGUCGACGAACCCGAUAGGAGCCGCGUAUCUCGUUCCGAGGACACACCGUCUAUGCAAAGUGGACGGGAACCAAACCUCGAGUUGCCCCGUGGUGGCACCGCCGACUGCUAGGUGGGUGGACCAACACUCAUGAGGAGCACUGGCCCAGGGGUUGAUUAAAUUAUCCUCGGGUUAAUUACUCCCUAUGCAGUUCAUUAGUUAUUAGGCAAAUGUAGUACCAAAGUUGGGCCUUGCCAGACCAGCUUUAAUCUAAAAUGAAUUAUCAAGGGUGUCCCCAUAACAACCCCGAUCGUGUUAGGAGCGCUCAAUUAUGCAACAUAACACCGGUAGCCGAAAGUAAGGGGGCAAAGGUGGAACAAAACACCAGGCUAGAAAGGCCGAGCCUUCCACCUUUUACCAAGUAUAUAGGUCCAUUAAAAUAAAUAGCAUUUAAUAUGGUGAUAUGACAAGGGACCCAUGUUAUCACAUGGAAGCAACUACACCUGCAACUAGCAACGCUAACAAUAGGGUUAAGCAAGCAGUAACAUAGCCAAUCAGUGGUUUGCUAGGUCGAUCAGGUUGAAGGUUAUCAUGGCAUUGUUGAGAGGCUGAAUUUAACAUGUGGUAGGCAACGAGACAUAAUCGAUAGAAGCGAAAUAACUAGCAUGGAAAUGAUAGUAAUGGUAUCUGGGGAAAUGGUCAUCUUGCGUGAGAUCCUGCUUGGAAGAAGAAUGACUCCGUGAAGCAGACGAACUGACAUAGUCGAACGGGUCCUCACAUACCGACACGCUUGCGGAACUCUAUCGAGACGGAGCAAACCGGAAACAAACAUCAACAGAAAUAUUCACCAUGGCAAAUGCGAGACAUGAUGCACACCCUAAUAUGAUGCAUGAUCAGUUUAAAAUGCAAGGGAUGGCAUGGCAAUUCACCUCACGCAAGCACUACAUAUUAAAUGAAGCUCGAUAUGCAACGGGUUGCAUAUCGACGAAACUCCACGUUAAUUAUUUAGUUCACUCCUGUUAAUUUACACGGCAAUGUUUAAGUUGUUGUUAACAUGGCAAGGGGUGAAGCGGUGAACCUACAUGUCAUGCUAUUCGGUUAACACGCGGAGCAUAGAAUGGAGCUAGGGCACAAGAGGCAUGCAAAACAAUAUAUCAUGCCAUGAAUGCGACAUGCAUGCAAGUUACAACAUCACGACAAGCAGAGAAGGAAACAUGUGUCGCCACGGCGAGCGAGAGGGAACCAUGGCGGCAAAAUGGAAAUGAUGCCACGGCAAUGUUCCUAUCCCGAUAUCUCAUCGAGAUAACGUGCCAACGAAUAGGGAGCGUGUGCGGGAACGCUAAGUAAGGAAUGGGGUGAUCACGGUUACCGGGUUCCCAUGUGUCGAGGCUCAACAAAAGAGAUACACGUGCAACGGGCAACAUACAGUGCAUACAUAUAUUCAACUCAUACAACACAUGCAUUCGUUACACGACACGUCUCAACGUUAUACCUUCGGAGCGUGCGAAUCGGAGCGGUUCGGUUCGGUGAAGGGGAACAAUGGUCGUCGUGGACGUCGUGGAAGUCGUGGUACCGGUCUCGUCGACGGUAGUCGUUCGCUCGGCGUCGUGGCUCUUGGGUCUUCGGCGUCGGUAGUCGAACUCGGGUCUUCGGCGACGUCGAGGAAGUCAAACUCGUUUCCGGGGUCGUCGAGGAUGUCAUUGUACCCGCGAUCUGACUGUUCCAUGAAGGAGGGGAUGGUGCACGCGGCGACGGCCAACAGCAGCCCAAGCAAGCAAAAAACUACAAUAGCUAGCAUAGCAAUUAGCAGGCAGCAGGAACAACAUCACUAGCAGGCAAGCAUCGGCUAGCUACACAACAACUAGCAAAGCAUCAGGCAGCAGCAACACAAGCAAUCAAUGAGCAACGACACAGCUCGACGACAGCAACACAGCAUGCAACAUGGCAGCAACAACCAACACAGCAGCAAGCAGGCUACGCUACGGCAUAGCAUGGGAGAGGCCAAGGCGGCAGCAGCAGCAUGCGGCUACAGCAAGCAAGCACAGCAGCAGCAGGCAAUAGCAGCUAGCAUCAGCAUCAGGCAACGCAAGCAGGCAACAAGCAACAACAAACAACAUCGGCGGCAGCAGCAGCAAGCUUCGGCGACAGUAACAGGCGGCGACAACAGGCACAACAACACCAACAACGCAACAGCACGCAACAGGCAACAGUAGCUAAGCAAUAGAGGAACUCUAUGGCGCGGCAAUGGCGAGCUCCGGCAAGGGGCCGAGGGAGACGAGCACGACACCGGCGCGGGAGGCNUCCUUUAAAAAUACGCCACAACUUUAAAAAUUGUUUGGGUAUUUCUAAAAGAAUUAAAAUAAAACCUUUUGAAGAAUUAAAAUUAAAACCGGUUUACAAAAGAAUAAAAAUCAAACCCCUUUGAAGAAUUAAAUAAAACCUCUUUAUUUAAAGAAUAAAAUAAAAGCCCUUUAAAAGAGAAAAGAAAAUAAGAGGGUUUUAAAAUAACACACAAGGAGAAAUAAAAUAAAACCCAAGGGUUGCCCCCACAUUUAAUAAAAGGACUUUUAGAAGAAGACACUUUUUUUAAAGGGGUUAAAACGAAAACUUAGCAAAACCACAAAAUGAAAUAAGAGGAGAGAGAGGGGGAACUACUAUCCCUCUACGACUCGGUGAUCACUCGAAGCACAACACUCAAUACACCACACGUGACAGACGAUGCAAGAUGCCAUGUAUGAUGCGACGAUGCAAACUAAAUGAAGAGGCCACAAAAUAAAAUAACCACACAACGGAAACAGAAAUAAAGGGGAAUCUUCUGGAACGUCGGUCUCGGGCUGUCACAUGAGGGCUGAGUUCUAUGCUCCAUACUUGAUUAACUUCAAAUCAAGAUCAAAAAGACUCCAAAUUGAAGCAUGGAGAGAAAUAAAGAAGGUUCGCAAGCCACAAGCUGGAGACCGUUGGAUCUCUGUGAUUCACCAUGGAGCCAUAGGUGUUAUUAUGUUUUAUGACAUUAUAUCUAAGAGCGAGGACUAGGUCUUAUGAGAGACAAGUUAUUCUAGCUUAUAUUAUUACUUGACAUGAUCGAUUAAUUAGGAUGCAUGAUGCAUAUGAUGACUAUAUAUAUAUUAUGGUGUUUCUCUGUUUUAUUUUAUGUGUAUCAUAUGAUAACUUGGUAUAUGAUUAAGUUGAUGAUGAGUUGUUAGAUGAUCGAUUAGAAUACUAUUGCCAUUCGACGAAAAUGAUAUGAAAUGAUAUAGUGUAAAAAAGAUGCAUAUAUGUGCAUGUAACUCCUGUCUACAUUUUGUAAAUAUGUUCGACAAAGCACGACGGAUGACCAAGCACGGAGAUAUAUAAGAGAGGAAAAUUUUCUCUAUUAGCUAGCUAAUAACAACCUAAAUUAACCCCUGAACCAGCCCCUUUAAAAAAAACCUCAGCUCCAGCCAGGUGCUGACGCGUGGAUGCCUUUUGGUCCCGGUUGGUGUCAUCAACCGGGACUAAAGGCCCCCCUGCCUUGCCUGGCCGCAGCGGCCACGUGGAGGCCCACCUGUCCCGGUUCGCGUAAGAACCGGGACUAAAGGCAAAGGGCAUUAGUAAUGAUCUUUUUGUCCCGGUUCCAAAACCGGGACAGAAGGCCCUUAUGAACCGGGACAAAAGGCCGUUUUUCUACUAGUGAAACCGUCCAAAUUCUAACAUGCACGUUAGUUUUUUUUAAAUAUGGUUAUUUCCUCAACAUGUUUUUUCUUCAAACUUACACUAUUCAAGAGAUAGACGAGUUCUACUGUGCGCUUCCAUGAUCAUGUGAGGAUACAACACAUCCAGGAUGCUAAGGAGCACUAGCCCACUGAAUGACCAUCAAAAUUAUUAUUAUUAUUUGGCAAGCUGAAUCCCUGAUUGUAUUCCCAUAUUAGUGGGGUUAAUCCCAAAAGAAAGGACACAAGGUUACAAUAAUUGUCACGAAUAAAAUAAAAUGUUACAACGAAGACACCAAGCGCGAGCCUAUACAUGAUAGCUAGGUGGAUCAUUCACAACAUGACUCUAAGGUGUUGGAAUUGUUGGAAAGAAGGUAUGUGGAACAAGAGUUUAUUUGAGCUGAAAGUGAGUAGGAUUGACUUUUUUUGUCAAUGAAAAGUGGUUACCAACUUGCCAUCCUUGCCAACAUGAAUUAGCCACUCCUCAAAUUUGAUCAAUAUGAGCAACUCACGAUCCCCAAGCACAACCACCACUAUUAAUGACAACCGAUUAUCACACCUGUCACACUGCAUCCUGAUCUGUUGAACCAUCAAUUCUACGUCCAAACCUCCCUCUGAAAGUCUUGCAUCAAUAAGAUAUGAACGGUUUUCACAUAAUCAAAGAUGUCUAUGCCGAGGGGAACAUACAUGAAACAUGGCAAAGGUGCAAUUUUUAUUUCUCUUAAAGUUUAGGCACAUUUUUGCACAUGUCCCACCAACACGUGAAAGGCGUCAUCAUUCAAACCAUCCAAAUUAUAACGUGCAUGUUAGUGUAUUUUAAUAUGGUUAUUUCCUCAACAUGUUUUCUUCAAAAUUACACUAUAUUCGGGAGAUUGACGAGUGCUAAUGCGCGCUUUCAUGUUGUUGUGAGGAUACAACACAUCCAGGAUGCUAAGGAGCAGUAGGCCACUUAAUAAUCAUCCGAAUAAUAUAAUUAUUAUUUGGCAAACUUAAUCCCUCAUUAUAUUCCCAUAUUAGUGGGGGAAAACUCCCACAAUUAUGGACAUCAGGUUACAAUAAUUGUCAGGAAAAAAUAAAAAGUUACAACCAAGCCACCAAGCAUCAGCCUAUACAUGAUAGGUGGAUCAUUCACAACACAACUCUACGGUGUUGGAAUUGUUGGAAAGAAGGUAUGUGGAACAAGUGUUUCUUUGAGCUGAAAGUAAGUAGGAUUGGCCUGUUUACGAUGAAAAGUGGUGACCAACUUGCCAUCCUUGCCAACAUGAAAUAGCCACUCGUGAAAUUUGAUCAACA